UCAUGCUGCCUGGCCGACAGCCUGGGCAUAAGGAUUGGCAUGUGAAGUUGCUGCCAACUCAUGUGUCCAAGGCCUCAGUGUGGCGUCUCUACGUGAAGUCUGCUAAGGAGCUUGGUGAGCGUGCAGUUUGUAAAACCAGCUUGAAAGCACUGUGGGACCGACUUCUCCCACACAUCAAAAGUUGCCGGCACAGAUCUCUGCUGGCAGUGCCAAAGCAAUAACGAGCAGCUGAUACGAAGUGCAAACCUCCCAGAUGACAGAAAGUCUGAAGCAGUAAAGAAGCAACAAGAUCAUCUUUCCCUUGUGCAGAAAGAGAGGGCUGUGUACAACGACAUGACUGCUGCCUGUAGAAAGAUUUGCUCUGGCUCUAACCUGUCUUUUGGACCGUCCCUACCAGCAUGCAAGAAGAUUAGGAUGCAUUACAGUUUUGAUUUUGCUCAGCAGUUACACUUUCCCUCAAACCCUCUCCAGCCAGGACCAAUGUACUUCCUGACCCCAUGGAAAUGUGGCCUAUUUGGUGUUUCCUGUGAAGGGCUGCAGAAACAGGUGAAUUACCUGAUUGAUGAAGGCAUGUCAUCUACUAAGGGAAGCAAUGAAGUCAUCAGCUACAUGUAUCAUUUCUUCGGCAACUUUGGAGUUGGAGAAACAGAGGUGGAUCUUCAUUGUGACAACUGCAGUGGGCAGAACAAGAACAACUUCAUGCUCUGGUACCUUGCCUGGCGGGUUGGACACAAGCU